UAACGCGAGAAUAUAUUUGAUUGCAUACUGUCUUUUUCAAUUUACUUGAAUGUUGUUGCCGCGUUUUACAAGCCUACCGGGAAACCCGUAAAAUAAAAUGGAUUGAGAAAAAACAUCCACAUCGAUAUAAACAGCCAUUCAGCGAGAAGCAGUUUCGAAAAAACAACCGUGGCAAAUCUUGUCCUUGCGGGGUUGAUUCCACCAAAGCACCGCGCCAGUGUUUCAUUAAUGACAACGCCAGCGCUGGAACAAGCAGGAGCGACCGCAUCCCAGGUAGACAACUCGGACAACAUCAUGGCCUAUCUGCUCAUUGACACGAACCACAUGCUAUCACAAAUGAUACGUGAAACUUUGGCCAGAAGUGAAAAUUUCGACCACCGGAACUUACUGGCAAUUAUCAUCGAUGUUCCGAUAACGGAUUAUUCCAUUGGAUCGAUCACUACCCUGAAGAGCGAGCGAUUGAAUCAGGUUGUCAAGUACCGGCGGUGCACGCGCGGAACGUUGACACGCACAAGGGCAUGCACCGGUGUCCCGAAGUAUCUGGAUUGUCCGAUCAUGCCUGAAAAGCAACAGGUACUGAACAACAACCAUGGCAGUUUGCAACACCUGAUAUCAGAACUGCACUGCACAUAGCGUCGGAGCGAAAAGAUGUACUCCAGCUCCAGAUUGAAAAAUCGACCAUCAUCUUGUUUACAUCAGUUUUGCCGGAAUAUUAAUGUUGCUUUGAUUGUAGAGCUCGAAGCGGAAGAGAAAUUAAAUGACCUAUUUACACUUUUAUCUGGUGCUGCGGUAAAAACGACAUCGGCGGAAGACAGCCAUGCUCCGGAUCAAGAAAAGCCGUACGCAUCCACUUUCAGCUCAGCCAGUCAAUCAGCUAUUGGCUUCGUAUCUCCUGGUGAUUCCCGCCUGUUUCCAGUGUUAAUCAACAGAAUAAACACCGCUGCAGAAAACGAUGGAUUGCCGAAAAUGUAGCAGUCCCAAACUCACGAAGGAACAAAAUUAUGUACUUCUAAAAUUUUCGUUUCCAUCAAUCUACGGCUUAAUCAAUUUGUUAAAUCAAAAGUGGUCAUACAGCAUUUUAAUAAAAUUUAA